GCCCACUGAAAAUUUUUAAAUGGCCGCAGUAAUUUGACUGUGCAAAGGUAGCAUAAUCAUUAGUUUUUUAAUUAAAAGCUUGUAUGAAAGGUUGGACGAAGUAAAAUCUGUCUCUAUUUAAAUUAAAAUAGAAUUUAAUUUUUAAGUUAAAAAGCUUAAAUUUUAGUAAAAGACGAGAAGACCCUAUAGAACUUUAUAAUUUAAUUAAUAUAAUAUAUUAGGAUUUAUUUAAGUUUUAUUAGUUAAAUUAUUUUAUUGGGGUAAUAGGAAGAUUAAAUGAAUUCUUUUUUAAAGUUAACAUUUAUUUAUGAUAUUAAUGAUCCAUUUUUAAUGAUUAUAAGAUUAAGUUACCUUAGGGAUAACAGCGUAAUUUUUUUGGAGAGUUCAUAUCGAUAAAAAAGUUUGCGACCUCGAUGUUGGAUUAAAGAUUAAUUUAGGUGUAGAAGUUUAAAUUUUUGGUCUGUUCGACCAUUAAAUCUUUACAUGAUCUGAGUUCAGACCGGUGUAAGCCAGGUCGGUUUCUAUCUUUAUUAAAUUUAAAUAUUUUAGUACGAAAGGACCAAAUAUUUGAUAUAAUUAUAUUUUUAAUUUUGAAUAUUAAUAUUAUUUUGGCAGAUUUAGUGCAAUAAAUUUAGAAUUUAUAAAUGUAAUUAUAUUACAAAUAAUACUUGUUUUAUAUAGAUUUAUUAUUUUCUUUAAUUUAUAUAGUAUUAUUAUUAAUUUGUGUUUUAGUAGGAGUUGCUUUUUUAACUUUAUUAGAACGUAAGGUAUUAGGUUAUA
rnacentral:rRNA from 1 species